rnacentral:rRNA from 1 species
UACGUAGGGUGCAAGCGUUAAUCGGAAUUACUGGGCGUAAAGCGUGCGCAGGCGGUGAUGUAAGACAGUUGUGAAAUCCCCGGGCUCAACCUGGGAACUGCAUCUGUGACUGCAUCGCUGGAGUGCGGCAGAGGGGGAUGGAAUUCCGCGUGUAGCAGUGAAAUGCGUAGAUAUGCGGGAGGAACACCGAUGGCGAAGGGCAAUCCCCUGGGCCUGCACUGACGCUCAUGCACGAAAGCGUGGGGAGCGAACAGG